GUUGUCUUCGUUCUAGCAUACGAGAGAUAUUUCAGUGAGCAAGAGUACAAGCAAGUCAUCAAACGCACGGAGAGAGGAAGCCGUGCGGCCGGUUCCACACUUCUCCUCAACCUGGUGACUGAGAAAGAGCCGCGGGUCCUUAAACUGAUAUGGAAAUGCUUCGUAAAAAUGCACCACCUGCUCCCCGAACUGGAGGAGUUGCUGAAAGCAAUGGGGGAAGAAGGUUCUGAUCUGAUCGAAUUGUUCAAAAACAUGAAGGUUUCCUGGGAACUACCUGCUCAUCUGAAAGGUAUUCAAUUGCAUGUUUUGUUUAGUUUAGUUCAGGGAGACGGCAUGGAAACAUGACAUUCUGCCCACUGCGUACACGCCAUCCAUCCAUCGAUCACCCUUUCACGCUAGUCCUAGUGUAUCCCAUGUUUAUAUCAACUUGCAGUCUAGGGACAAUUUGCAGAAGUCCAAUUAACCUACGUCUGUGCGGU